UUCGUUUAUGGGCAAAGCUAUAGAAAUGUAGUGACGCAAAGCCAUGGGUCUUCAUUAAGUUAUAAAACUAAUAAGAUUGCCAGGUUGCUAUU
rnacentral:ncRNA from 1 species